AUACCUCAACUCUCAUGGCUUGCCAUGAUGAGCUUGGACUUUGGGGGUCUUGUUGGUCUGUGAGCCAGCUCCUCUUAAAUGAAUUAGCUUGCCGGUGUUUGGUGGCGUCACAGGUGUGAUAACUAUCUACGCUUGUGGUUUCUCACCAGGUAACCUUCAGCAAUGGAGGUUAACCGGAGCUUAUAAAUGUCUCUCCUCAGCGAGGACACAUUUUGACC
rnacentral:misc_RNA from 1 species